rnacentral:lncRNA from 13 species
AUGGACCGGCAGAUUCCGACAGGACAGAACAAGGUUGCAGCAAACAUGACGAUAGUCUGGUUCAGGCAUGAACAACACAAACAAGAAUCCGACAAAGACAGACGCAGGAACAGAGAGAGAUAUAGAGGACUAAUCAGAGGGAAAAAGGGAACAGGUGGGAAAAGGGGUGACGAGGUAGUUAGGAGGAGACAAGGAACAGCUGGGGAAAAGAGGGAGAGACAAGAAUCCGACAAAGACAGACGCAGGAACAGAGAGAGAUAUAGAGGACUAAUCAGAGGGAAAAAGGGAACAGGUGGGAAAAGGGGUGACGAGGUAGUUAGGAGGAGACAAGGAACAGCUGGGGAAAAGAGGGAGAGAAAAGGUAACCUAAUAACGACCAGCAGAGGGAGACAGGGUGAAGGGAAAGGACAGAAACAAGACACAACAUGACAAUACAUGACAGUUUCAAUGUGACUGUUUGUCAUUCUAAUGGGGAUGUGAUAUGGAAUACAACUUGAUGGUUUCAAUGUGACUGUCAUUCUAAUGGGGAUGUGAUAUGGAAUACAACUUGAUGGUUUCAAUGUGACUGUUUGUCAUUCUAAUGGGGAUGUGAUAUGGAAUACAACUUGAUGGUUUCAAUGUGACUGUCUGUCAUUCUAAUGGGGAUGUGACUCGUUCGUAGGACAUGGGAUUUCUCUUGACUAUCAAAUCAGUACUGUGUACUGUACUGUACCAUGUUUUCAAACUUGAUUUGUUUGAAUCCGCAGCUAGUUGAUACCUGUCGUGUUUCCUGAAUAAAAACAGAACCAGCUGAAAGUGAAGCUUACAAACAUCAUUGUUUUCAAUGAAUCACCCAAAAUAUUUAAUUUAAAUAAAUAUUGAAAAAUACAGUACAUCAGAUCUUGUCUGAUUGUUCUCUAACGCCAUCAAGAGACCUGAAGUCUAGUAUUGUGCGCGCAUGUGUGUGUCUGUGUCUGUGUCUGUGUGUGUGCGUGUGUGUGUGUGCGCGUGCGUCCGUGUGUCCCUCCGAAUGUGUAUCUCUUGUUCAGGUUCUCAUAUCUCCUCAGUCAGUCUCUGUCAAAGCUAGUCUUUCCACUAGAGACUUCAAACUGCUCUGGUGUCAAUUUUGGAUCUGUCAAAACCAUGUCAGUUGAUACCUGCAAAAGACCUGCAGAGUACUUAUCACACUCAUGGCAAUUGGUUUUCUGUGAAUCCACUUCUCCCAAACCUCUUUACAAGUUUACAUCAUGUCUAUCUCUGUUACAGAUCACUGAUGUCUCUCUCAGCCAGUUAGUUGUGUGUUACCUGACAUGGCCUUCUGAGAAGCUCACUGUGAUGCAGAAAGGGCAGCUCGGCAGGCUCUGUCGUAACCGGCCGCGACCGGGAGGUCCGUGGGGCGACGCACAAUUGGCCUAGCGUCGUCCAGGUUAGGGAGGGUUUGGACGGUAGGGAAAUCCUUGUCUCAUCGCGCACCAGCGACACCUGUGGCGGGCCGGGCACAGUGCGCGCUAACCAAGGUUGCCAGGUGCACGGUGUUUCCUCCAACACAUUGGUGCGGCUGGCUUCCGGGUUGGAUGG